CCCUUAGAUGUUCUGGGCCGCACGCGUGCUACACUGAGUGGAUCAGCGGGUCAGGUUGCGCGAAAGCGUUUCCUAAUCUUUAAAUCCGCUCGUGAUGGGGAUUGACGGUUGCAAUUUUCUGUCAUGAACGAGGAAUACCUUGUAAGCGCGGGUCAUCAUCCCGCGCUGAAUACGUCCCUGCCCUUUGUACACACCGCCCGUCGCUCCUACCGAUUGAGUGGUCCGAUGAGGCUUUGGGAUCUGAGCGGAAAGAGCGUUUCGCUGUUUCUGCUCGGAAAACUCAGUCGAACCUUAUCAUUUAGAGGAAGGAGAAGUCGUAACA
rnacentral:rRNA from 1 species